CAAUAAACUAACAAAGUUACAGACUGGAAUAUUUGAUCAACUGGGGAAUUUACAGACACUAGACCUGAGCGACAAUAAACUAACAACAUUACAGACUGGCACAUUUGUUCAACUGGUGAAUUUACGGCUACUUGAUGUAAGUGGAAACCCCCUCCAUUGUGAUUGCAAUGUAGUCGCCUUUAUCCGCUUUAUGAAAACAAAGCAACUGCAGUUACACCCCAACUCGUGGAGGAUGGAACCUUCCUGUCAAAACCCUCUUAAUUUAAAAGAAACGUUGCUGAAGGACAUUUCACUUCAAGAAGUAGUUUGUGAUUCAGGGAAUGCGACAGCUCAAACCUACACAGUAGAUGUGACGCCUCUAAACUCAAUACCCAAAGCAGGAAAUAAUUAUACAUAUCUUUGUAACAUUUCGGGCAAUGGAACACUAGACAUCAUCACAAAUUUAAAGGUGAAGUGGUACCACAAUUCAAAGCUGCUGACCAGUCAGUGUACCUUGGAGGAUGUAUCAAUGGCGGAGAAGUAUUCGUGUGAGGUACUCCCCCAUCAACAGAACAGCAUCAGCUUAGAGAUGACAGUAAUAGAUGUGCAAAAAGAUGAUGUUGGGAGUUUAACCUGUGAAUUGACUCAGCAGGUGAAGGAGAACGGAAUAUGGAAAGAUGAAUUGUUAGAGAAUGAGUCAGUGGUAAUCGAUAUAAGAGGUAUAUGUAGAGGAAGAAGAUUAUGUUUAAAAGUAUCUGUAUAUAUAAAUAUUAUCCUGAUUUUAAUUAAUAUAACAUGAAUAUAACGAACAGUGAUCAAUCUCAACACCCCAAUUAAGGAAUGCAAGGUAACGAGUUGAAGAAACGCAAACCAGGACAUACGGUAUUACCAGAGGUAGGAUCAGGUGUCUUGGAGGCGUUAUAAAUCCUUGUCGACCGGCUACACCCUCCGUUGGCCCUAUAUCUUAAUCAAGUAAACAUACUAUUCCGUAGGCAAAAUCAAUGUGCCAAAAAUGUCAUAAAACUAUAUAAAGCACGUUACACAGCAUUUGAUCCAAUGAUAGAUUGAUGAAAUAUCAAUGGAUGUUAAAACUUUAAAAUUAAUAAGAGGGGAUGCUUGCUCUCCCUACGCACCUCACUCAACCUAUGGUGUGCCCAGGUGUUCGUAUUUGCCCUGCUCUUAAUUAUAAACCAUUUAUUGUAUUUAUGAGAUUGGCUAUUGUUCGUUGUCUUCAAUUUUCAUCAAUACAAACGAAGCAAGUCAACAGUUGAUCUGGCAAGUAUCCAUCAUGUAUCUAGAGUUUUUGUCAUUGUGUAAGACAUUAGGGCUGGUUUAUCAAAUAACAAUUUGCCGUAUGUCACAGACAAUUGGUGCAUACAUUCAUCAGCAACAAAUGCGAUACUAUCUCUUUACACGGUGUUAUUGAAAGCAUUGAAUUGAAAUACCUUUUUGCAAGAAGAACUCCAAUCGACCAGGUAAACCCAUGCAUAGAGAUUUGAUUUGUGUCAAAUUUCUAAAUUCCCCAUGCCAUCUGAAGUAAGUAUGUUACUUUAUUUAUUUUGUCUUUGGUAAAUAUGAAUUGACCGAAACAUGCAUGUAUGCGAACCUUUUUAGUGUUAAAGAUUGUUUCACAGAUACCAUAAUUUGGGAUUUAUGUUGACACGAUUUUGAAUUUGACUUUGCACGUGGUGUAACUUAUUUGGAAUUACAGACCAGAGGAUACACCUUUGACGAUAUAUAAUCAGACGGAUAUUGUUCGGUGUGUCGUUCAUUAAGGUGUUAUCACUAGAGUGAUCAAAUGACGUGAAAACAAUCAUAUUUUAUGUCCACGAAGUAGUUAAUCAUUCUCAGCUGGUAAUUCGAGUCAACUGAUCUUUGCUUAACGCUGAUGAAUUGCAAAGUUAUGUUUUGAGAAGGGAAACAAACCAUUUACAUUUGGGCAUACCAUUUACAUCACUGAUUGCUUAAUAGGCAAUAUGUCCCAAUCCCAUAAGAAAAAUACGAUAUCCUUGUAGAUUUCAAAUAUAUAUCCAUACUGUAACAUACUUCAGUGAAUAGCAAAGUCCAUGCCUGUAAUUUUAAUUCGCGUUUUUAAAGAUAUCAAAAUAACGCAUUGUAUAAACAUAAAAAGUGAUAAAUGAAAACCACUCAGGUGUCAUGCUCAAAGAAAUCCACGGAAGAUUCAUCAAUGGACUGUUACCUAUGCAACGUAAGAGACAUGUAUUCCUGUCUUCAACACUAGUGGGCAUUUAUAUCGAUAUAUUCAACAUUAGUAAGUAUUUAUUUUCCAAUUGUCAACACUUGUGAGUAUAGAUUUUUGUUUUCCCAUAGAAUAAACUAAUAUAGGACAAAACAAUCAGAAGGUGCGUCGCUAUGUACAAGUUAUAUAUAUUUACCCGGAAUGUACAAAUUAUACGUUUAUUUGAUAUCUACAAGAUUUAUGAUUUAUUAGUGUCUACAAGGUAUAAAUGUGCUCCGUAAGUAUGAUGCAUACAUCUGCUUAGUAUUUACAUGUUCUAUAUUUACUUGGUAUGUACACGUUACACGUUUAUUCGGUAUACGCGUAUUUUGUGCGUCCGGAGAGAACGGGAUGAUAAUACUUAUAAUAACGACAAACAUCACAAGCAUGGAAGAUUGUAAGUAUUCAAUGUUUCAAUCAAUCUUUCUAUCAUCUUAUUUGGAUAUUUCAGGAGAUCAGAAAAGUGGACGUGUUUCUCUGUUGCUUCGACAAGGACAUGGUCUGCAUGUAGUCAGGAUGUUUGGAGAGCACGGUCAGAUGCUGACAGCUGCUUUGUGUUACCAGGAAUUCAGCCAUUUCCUUUGAGGUCGGCAUUUCGCAAGUUAUAUGGCCGAUAUUGUGAUCUGGAUUGCAGAUUAUCCCGCUUACAUGAUGGAAACAGAGGGUUUACGGCGGGUGUGGCCGAUCAACAACGAAUGUUGCCUCCUCCUAGACAGCUGAAUCCCCGCCAGUGUUUAUGAUGGUUGCUGUUUGUCCUAUUCUCAAUGCGGUGUUCUUAAUAUGAUUUUGAGAUGUAUCACGCCUUAUUAUCUUCAGUAUUCCUAGAGGAACGGAUAAAUAUGGGAAUUAUAUCACCAGUAAGAGAAGGAACAAUAUGGCCACUUGAUGCUUCCCAUUCUGUUUAAUGGACAACCCACUACUGACACCCCACUUCAAUUGGCCAUACUGUGAAUUACCAUCCGCUUCGACCGGAGAAAGAGUCAACCUUCGAUGAACUGGGGAUUCACUCUACGGAAAUACAUUACUCCCAUCUGUUAAACUCUUGCAAUUGCAGGGAACAUCCACAUAGGGUUUUCCAGCCUUCGUGACUACGGAAGGAAUCAGAAGUAUCGAAAUCACGUAGGAAUUUCAAUCAAACCUUGAAUGAUGUGGUUUUCGCACGACCUACUUUCUGUAUGGUGAAUUGAAAAUACUCCACGUGUAAAAUGGUACACGAUGACAAAGAUACCCAAGGGUAUUUAUUCAGGAAUUCAUAUGUUAACUAAUUGUGGACAAAUUGGUAAUUUUUGAUAUAAAUUACCAGACUACUAACAAUUUUCAUAUGAAUGGAGACCAUUAGUAAACAUGCAUCGAGGAAACUCUGAUCAGGAGAUAUAUCAGUCAUAACCAGAUCCACAAUGGUUGAAAUCCGCAGAAAUCAACUCUAAGUUGUUGAAGGACUUAUUGAACCACGUUAUCUAGCAGUCCAUGUCUGAAAGUUACGCCGUUCCGGAAUGCACAUCGAGGACGAUAUGCCGAGGUUGUAUUCGGAGUGUCAGUAUGUGACGAUACACGGUACACUGUCCGUCAUUGAGAAGAUAAAGAUAGCACACGUGUUUUAAUAUGAAUUAAUGACAGGAUAACAUAAGGAACAACAUCAAGCUCAUAUCUCCAAUAUGGUAUACAGAAUACAGAGUUGGACAGACACGGAAACCUGGGUAUAUUAGAGGUUGGAUCAGGUGCCUAGGAAAUGUAAAUAUUACGUGUCGACCGCUUACACCCGCUGUGAGUCUUGUAUGUUUUGAUCAGGCAAAUGUAGUAAUCCGUAGUCAGAAUCAAUGUGUUAAGAAGAGCCUAACAAUAAUAGAUUUACAUUAGGUAAUAAAAAUUGUGAAACAAUAUGCUUUCUUAUCAGUCAUCGUGCUUACAUUAAAGGGUUACAAACUAUUGUCCUGACCUUUCUGUUCAUCAGUUGUCUUAGCUUUGUUCACGAUCUUGCAAGUGCUGGCAUCGACUGUUAACGUCCUUGGAUAGUUGAUUUGAAAUAGUAGGACAUGUUCUUCGUGUUGUGGGAUCGAUAAAGUUCCAUGGCAACUGCUGGUUUGUCAAAGUUGCCAAUAAAGGAUGCGUUGAAUUUAUUUCUUGAAACUUCUUGAGACUUGUGUAGAGAUUCUCAGUUUACCCCCCCCCCCCCCAACAAAAAACCCUUGAAAAUGUAGCUAUCCCCCAAAUCAUGACGUUGGAUUAUAUUUAAAUCAAAUGAUUGAAUAAAUCUAAAUGAACGUAUUUCUACGAUUCCAUAUAAAAACAUCGAUCACUAGAAUUUGAGGGAACCCUACGUUUGUUUGUAUAUCUUUAUAUAUAUCCGGAUACCCAACGCGGAUUGCAUUCCUUUUAUAUUUGUUUGUACAUAAUAUCUUUAAACAAUUUUUUAAGUCAUCAUUAGUUGGCAUACAAACAAUCGGAAUGCAACACUCGUCGCGAAAAGAUGGAUAAGUUCCGCGUACUACAGUGUAAGUACAUACAUCCGGAGAUUUUGAUGAUUAUACUAUCGGCCAAUUUAGCCUUUUGUGAUCUAUUAACACGAUAAAUUCAAUGUCUGAGAGUGUAUUUCCGUCUGUUACAAUUGUAAAAUAACAGCCAAUUCAACAUUUGAUAUGUUACUUUCCAUUUGAUAAGAUUCUCAGAUAAAGAUUUAAAUGUAGUUUACAUGUUCAAUGGGUUGACUUUUCGAUGUUAUUUGCUAAAUAGAAUGAGCAAAAAUGAGCAAAACUUACUUUAAUUCCUAAAAAAGAAGUAAUGUCGAGAUAAUUAAUUCUACACUGUAGAAACAUAUACCGUACCAAGAACCUGGGUUCGUGUGUAUAUCAAUCAAUAUAAAUACAUGCAUCUAUCUGAAUCACCUGGGUACUACAAUUGUGUAUUUCAUAUUUGUAAUAUUUCUUGUUUGAUAACGUGUUACCAAAAUGCAUAGAGGCUAAGCCCGUUCUGGGCCCGAACUGUGUGAUACCAUUACUAUAGAAAGGGGUCUAACUCUUACCCAGAUAAAGAAAACUACCCUUUCGCUCCACUAAACAAUCAUAAACUAAGUGUGAUAUGCGUAAUUUAACGGUCACCCUGCAUAUAAUAAUGUUAUAACUGACUAUAUGUCCCAGCAACAGGUUCUUGAAAUAACAGAGAUAUUCGGCAUAGCUCUCUAGAUUCCACCGGUCCAGGUCAAUUGGUUGUUUCUAUCAUAUGACAGCAGCGGGAAUCAGAUUAGUGUGUAAGAUUUCGGACCUAUCAAUUACAAUUUCAUAUCAACUAAACGUUACUUACUUCCUCAUACAUUUACUUUGAUAACGUUUCUAUAUUCGUUCUAUUUUGUUUGUUUCUUUUAGAAAAGAUCAACUCCUGACUCUAUCUGCUACCAAAGACCGAAAUACCUAAAACUUGAAAGAAGGUGAAAAUGGGCAAAACGUAUCUAAAUGAAAUAAAAUAGACCAACAUAAAUUAAGAAAGCCAAAAAUAAUGUUCAAUUUCUUUAUCUAAGUCCAAUAUCACACGAAAAAUGUUUUGAUAAAUUGUAAGGCUUUUAAGAUCAAGUAUACAGUGUCUUUAAUUAAAAUGGCAGUUGGUGCUGCUGAGGAAAAAUUGAGUUGUGUAACGUCUACACGAAGAGCAUUAUGAACGUAUGAGGAAGUAAGCAGCGGACAUCUGUUGUGAAAUUUUAAUCGAUACGUCCAAAAUCCAUGUAAAAUGAACAUGUUUAUCAAUGGCACAAGGCCUCUUGUAUUGCAAGUUUUUAAACUUAGAGAAAAUUGGAGUCGAAAUAUGUAUGCAAUUUAAUUAUCAUCGUCAAAAAAGCGAAUGUAUUUCAAUACACUGUCCUUUUUAGAGUGUCAAAUCACACCUCAUUGACAGGAGAGCUAUUGAGUUGUAACAUGAACAAACAUAAAUAUAUUUGAAACUAAAAUGAUUUCCUCCACCAAUAGACGGAAAUCAAACCCUUGUGUUCUUAUUUCAUUAGCAAACCCUAUGGAAAAUGACUCAUGCGUUACAUUAAAUUUGAAAUUUCAGAACUAUAAAUAUCUGUGUCCGGGUUCGUGUCCGGGUUCGUGUCCGGGUUCUAGUUUGCCCUACUCUGGUUUUGUAUUAUUUAUAGGAAUGAAAUCGAUCACUAUUCCUUGAUAUUUACGUUUGAUGAAUCGUUUCCGCUCUUUCCAAAUGAGGAGUUAAGAUAUUGUCUAAAUAUUGGCAAGUUUGAAGUCUAUCAUCUUUGCAUCUUUUUGAUAGGAAGUUCAGGGUAUUUUACGUAGAAUCAGAUUAGUGUGUAACAAAUUAAUGGGUGUUUUUAUGACUGAUCACAAGAUAUGUUUAUUUCCGUGCUCUAUUUCAAUUCAAAAAGCAACUGCCAAGGGUUUGAAAAGUCCUCUAUAACUUCAGCAUUUCGUACAUUGUAUUAUAUUUACUUAGUGAUUUGAUUUGCAAAUAGGAACUAUAACUGGGUUCAAUAAUAUCUUACGUGUUUCGUACCAGCUGUUAGGUAUUUCUUUACACAUUUAUUUCAACUACUGAUUACGCCGUUUACCUAAUCAAGACAGAAGGCCAUAGGACCAAUUUUACCGGUAAACAGGGAAUGUUUACUCAUUCUUGGUACUUGAUCCAACCUCUGUUCUGUCAAGGGGUAUUUGUUUACCCUCUCCUUGAUUUUGUAAUCUUUUAGAAUGUUGAGAUUAAUCACUGUUUAUCUUUUUCACCUUUCAUACACAAGUCAGUUGAAAUGAAGACAUGGCACACACACUGAUCUUUUGGGAAUCCGGGUAAGAAUAAUCCUCAAUACUCCUUGCCUGUCGUAAGAGGUGACUAAAGGAGAUAGUUCUUCGGAUGAUACCGCAAAAUCAGAAGCCCAGUGUCACAACAGAUGUGGCACGAUAUAGAUUCCUUCCUGCUCAAAGGUAAUAAGCACCGAGCAUAGGCCUAAAUUUUGCAGACCUUCAUCGCCAAUGGUGACGUUUCGAUAUCAGUGAACAAUUCUCACAAGGGACGUUAAACAAUUUGCAAUAUGUUUAGAAUUUCAAUAGCGGAAGUGUCAUGGGGUUAUUUUGAAAAGGUUACAUAGAAAUGACCUAUGAGAUUUAAGUUUAUUAUUAUUACCUGUUCGAUUGAGAAUAUCGGGGCUGCAUUUUAAAUUUCUAGCGCAUGCAUGCUCUUCUUGAGCAAGUCUCGUUUUUAUGUUAGUUAUAUUUGAAUUAAAACAGCAAGUUCUUUUGUUGUUCUUGUUCUUGUUGUUGUAAAAAUGAGGGUCCGCCAUUUAUUUUGUUUACCUCGCAUUAUAUUGCCGCGGACACACCGGUUUCCAUAGUUUUUCACAAACGUUGUGAUUUUUAUCUAUGGUUUUUCCUGGGCGGCGAGGGAAGCAUAUUUAUGAUAUCUUGAAAUUAUAAGUAUUACAAGUGUGUGUUUUGUCAAACAGUGUCUAUGAUUGCUUUGUAUUACGUGUUCUUUGUGGUGUAUAUGCACGCAAAAUAAAUAUCAUCUCGCACGAUGCAUUGUAUUAUAAAAUUGAUGUUUCACUAGUUUGUUUACUUAUAAAUGUUUACAUAACACAAAUUAUGUUUUUUCUUCCUGCAUUUAGGUCAAAUGUUUGGCUAUCAACAUUAAAUGAGUUAUAUUUUAAAUGUUUGACAUAAAAUUGAAACUCAUAAACUCUUCCAUUUA